CAGCCAGGUGUGACGGAACCCCGCUGUGAGCUGUUGAGCCCAGAGGGCCACAGGUGUGUUUCCCACUGAGGGUUAUAGGAAGAGGCUUCCUAGCCCAGGCUCAGGCCCCACGAGGCUAGCCUACGUGAGGACUGAGGCGUGGCCCCUGAGCCUCCUGCUCAGUCCCUAUGCUGGGUCUGUCCGAUGCUUGUCCCUUCUUCCUCCUCCUCCGAUGCUGGCAGGGUUUCCAUGGUUACUGGGACUGUGGCUUUGUGAGGCGGGCUUCUGUGGCUGUCUGGUCCACCGGGGAGGUCACUCCUUCAGCCGAGGCUGAGGUAUUUGUCCUUGGCUGCCGGCCCAGGCCUGUGGUCGAGGAGAGACGAGGGUCCACGGCACCUGUCUGACACCCCAUGGGAGAAGCCGGAGCUGGCGGGAGGCGAGCGCACACCAGCCCAGGUUCUGCCUGAGUCCUGUUUUGUUUUAGUUUGGAUUGAAUUUAGAUACCAUUGACGUACAUUUGCACACCGCGAUCGUUUUCCGCUCUGUCAAGGCACUGUUCAGAU